CUGAUGUAGGUGAAGAGGACGAAAUGUGAACGCGGGAGAAAAAAAUAUGCAUGCCUGGCAGAUUAAACGUGUCUAGGUACGAAGAGGGAAGGAGUACUGGGGUGAAGGGGUCGGAGCAGGGGGGGUGAUGGGGCAGGGACACGAGGGUGAGGCAGGCACGAGACAAUGUUGGCAAUGGUGGUGGCAACAGAAGAGAGCCAAGUUACUGAGCAGGAGUGAGAAAGGGUUCACCUCGAGUAGGUCAAACAGCCUCUAUUUUUACUCCCCCCCGCGCGCGGAAGUCUACACUGACGAUCGAGGCAGAAUGCAGGAAACCAUACCGGGGCCGAGGGAGGUGGAGUCGAUAGAUUAUAAAGGUACUCUGCCUUACAAUGAAGAGCAAUCCACAGCUCCUUUUGACCGUCAUUGAGUGCACGACAGAAACACAACCAUCGUGUGAGAGCGACGCCACGCCAACAGUCUCCUAAUCAACAUGUGUGGGAGUGAGCAGCAAGUAUUCCCUAUCAGCAACACCAGUGCGCUUGUAAGGGACACACACACACACACACACACACACACACACACACACACACACACACACACACACACACACACACGUCAUUUGUCUGGAGAUGCUGAGAAUUUACACGAAGCUAUUGAUGGUGAUAACGAUGAGAGAGAGAGAGAGAGAGAGAGAGAGAGAGAGAGAGAGAGAGAGAGAGAGAGAGAGAGAGAGAGAGAGAGAGAGAGAGAGAGAGA